AAUAAAUAAAUGAAAGAAAGUGAAAAGUAUCUUGUAAUUUCCAAAUGAUCUUUAUUUCUUCUCAAACAUUUAUUUUAUUUUUCCUAUUAUUCCUUCUUUAUCAGCCGUGUCCAUACCUAGUUAAAAGUCCUUCUUGAUUUUAGGAACUAUAGUUUAGAAUAGAGUUAGUAACAUGGACUAAAAGAUGUGGUGAUGUAUAAAAAUAAAUAUCAACAAUAUUGUUAGUUUGACUAGUAAUUUAUUUGGCCUGAGAUCAUAAUAUUGCUUUUUGAGCUAUGAACAUUAUUCUUUCCUGUUGUAAGAGCGAAUGAUAUUGUUUUUCUAAUAUUUUCUCUUAAUCUAACAUUCCUUCGAAUGACUGUGUGUAAUAGGUUUAUUUUCUUUUGAGAUUAUCACUCUUACUAGUGAGAUUUUGGAGUUCGAUGUGUCAUUCUUGAAAGUGGCUUGAUUAAUGUAGCUUUGAUAAUUGAUCAUUUUGCAUGGGUUUUCUUAAUUGAUUUUGAUGAAUGGUUGAUGUGGGAGUGACUUUGCAGGGCUGGAGACAAUGCUUAUUCCUUUAUUUGAUUGUCAUUAAUCUAAUUAAAACAAUAAACACAAUUAUGCAUGUAACAUACACACAUUUUUCGGUCGAAUAGGAUGUUAUCGUGUCAUCAAUCAAUGCAAAGUCAGCUAGGCUCCACCAAAUUAGCAUAAGUCCUAUCAGACUAGAUUUAGACUUUUUGUAAAUCUUGUUUCAUUCAAUCAGAGUCCGAUUUAACCUUAGUUUCAGUCGUCCUAUAUGUUUUUCAAGCUUCUGAAUUCAUUUAUGACCACGAUACCACCAUCUGGGAUACCAAACAUGAUUAAAAUUAUAAUUUUACCCUUAGGCACUUCCUAAGGUUUUUACCCAUUCCAGGCUUAGAAAUAUCAUCUGUUUUACUGUCUAAUUUCUCAUUAAUUAUGAAAUGACCAAAACACUCUUUAGAUACAUAAAAUGCUCUUAUUAUAACAACACACACAGAGUUAAAGUUUAAAGGACUUAAAUGCAUAAAAAUAGAAAUGCUAAUGAGACUUAGAGUGCAAAAUAAUGAUUUUAUCAUUUGUAAAUAUACAUUCUCCAACACUCAACCCACCCCCCAACCAAAUUUAAACCCACUGACUUUUUGUUUAAUGACGACGUGGCAACAUUCUAUUGGACCAAAAAUGGGUGUACAAUACACGCACAUGCAUGGAUGACAACCUUGAUGACGUGUUCCAUCUAAUGUAAUUAUGCCAUGUGGCACAAUCUUAUGCAUCCGAAUUGUUUUCAUCCGAUGACCAUAAUUUAGUCAUUGUAUUUGUAAAUAGGAGACUCCCCCCUCUAAGCACAUAGUUCUGAUUCCAAAUUUGAGCUCUAUUUAUGUAGUUCUCACUCUAUCUUAUAUUUCUACAUAUUGGUAUAAAGUUGUCAUUUUACCCCCAGUUCAAUAUAAGUCGAUAAUUUAAUUUUAAGCUUUAGUUAAAGGUGAAGCCUCAACAUAAUCCAUGAGCUUAAUUUAGUAAAUUUGUUCAUUCACUCUAAUUUAUCUAGUUUUUUUGACUCAUCGUUGAUAGAAAGUAAAUAUUGUCUAGAUUUUGCAUAGUAUACCAGCUCCCUAGCACAAGACCAUUACUAUUUGGCACGAUGAACACUUUACACAAUAUUUAGUAAAGAAAAAAAUCCUCUCUAGUAUUUGUGGGCCAUCUUGGCCCAGUGUUGACAAAGAAUGCAUCUAAUUUAUUUAGGUGACAUUCAUGUCGUAUUAUCGAUAGAAAGAUUAUUAUUGCCUACCACAAUAUAUACCUGACACUACAUUUAGCAGAAGAUUAUUUCCCUUGGCGCAAUAUAUAUUACAAAAGAUUAAUUAGGCAAAGGUCAUUAUUGCCUACCACAAUAUAUGUUUGAUAUCAUAUUCAUUAGAGUAAGGCUGAUGAGGAGUGAAAACACACCCCUCAUAACUUAAUUGGCACUAAAAAAGAAACGUUAAGCCUACGAUGAAAUAUCAAGUGUGAAUCCAGAGAGUCAAAUGUUUCAUUUGCAUUGUUUAAUCUUUAAUUUAUUCUCGCCAUUUUAUUUAAAUAUUAGGUUACGAUUAACCACCUUCCAAUCAAUUCAAAUUCUGAAAAAGAAAAUAACCAUAUGCACCAUUAAAUUUAUCUCCUCGUGAGGUUGACACUAGUCACCAUAAAUUUAUACUAUAACAGAUUUGUACGCUUGAGAGUACAAUAAAAUUUUUACAACAAUAACGGUCCCCUAUUGACAUGUGGCAGCUUUAAAAGGUAUUGCGGGAGACAUUUUAUGCACUUUUCAAAUUGUUAAGAUGACUCUUGCUCUUUUUUUGAGAUUUUUCGAUUUUAUCCUUAUCACCUCAAAAUUUUCUUUCACACUUCGCAAGGGUACGUUGGGCAUACAUAUUAUUGUACACAUGUCACACUUUGUGAUUCAAAUUUUACCACCAAUAGAAAUAAUGUAUUUAAUUUGGUAGCCUUUUUCCAUGAACUUUUAACAUACACAUUUCAUUAAGUCAGUAAAAUUUUCACCUGAUCUCCCUUGCAAUGUAGACACGAAUAAUGUAAACCUGCAAUUUUCAUAAUAAACUAAAAAAAAAACACACACACCCCUUCUAAAUUCAGUUGAUCUAUUACUCCCAUCCCAUUGAUUUAUACAACAUUUGGGACCUCUAGCUCCCUCUUGCUACUAGCACUUGACUGUUAUGUGUGCAUCUUGUUAAUGUCAUGUAGUCAAGCUAAAUACAUGUACUAAAACUGUAAUAUCUACGACAAAGUAACUUACAAAGUUUACUAGGCUACCAAUGCUUAAGCACGACUAGAAUAACAACAAAAGUAUACAAAGAUUGUUCUGCAAUAUUAGAGAACACAACUAUACAAAAAUAUAGUCUCUAAGAUAAGCUCCAAAUCAAAAUCAAUCCUCUAGUGGCCUACCCUCAUAACCAUCAUUGCCAAAACUUGAAAAAUAGGAAGUGAACUAAUUUGCAGUAAGUGUUUCCAUACAAUAAUGGUUUUAUUUUUAAUACUAAAAUAAUUUAAACAUCAUGAGCGCAAACAAAUACACAUCUUUAAUGCAAUGUGUUCUUUCUUGAAUUGAAAUUUAUAUUUUUCUGUCUUUUAACUUGGUUCGUAUAGUAUUAAAAUAAGGGAUCACUUAUUAGAUAAUGACUCUAUAUAUGCGUGUGUUCAUUUGCACUACAAGAAAAUAAGUAAUAGAUGAUGGGAAAUAACUGUCAUAAAAGGGGGUGCAUGACAGACAGUUCAUCCGUCAUCUAUGUCACUGUAAUUAAUUUAUGACAAAAUAUUUUCCGUCAUAAAUUCAUGAUGUUAUUUCACAGUCAGAUAUCCGUCACAU
rnacentral:lncRNA from 1 species